GAAAUCCUGUCAAAUAAGCUGCUAACCACAGCAUUUGAAGCGAGUCUUGGGUGUGUCGCAGUAAUGCGGCGUGCUAAGCGUAGACAGCGAGGUAGUAGGGUUAGUGGUGUAUGCGGAAAAGCC
rfam:Clostridiales bacterium KLE1615 genomic scaffold Scaffold565, whole genome shotgun sequence.